rnacentral:rRNA from 1 species
GAACGUUGGCGGCGUGGAUUAGGCAUGCAAGUCGAACGAGAAAGUUCCCUUCGGGGAGCGAGUACAGUGGCGAACGGGUGAGUAACGCGUGGGAAACCUGCCUCUGAGCGGGGGAUAACAUCCCUAACGGGGUGCUAAUACCGCAUAACAUCGUUUUUCCUCAUGGAAUUACGAUCAAAGAUGGCCUCUGAUUUAAGCUAUUACUUGGAGAUGGUCCCGCGUUUGAUUAGCUUGUUGGUGAGGUAACGGCUCACCAAGGCGACUAUCAAUAGCUGGUCUGAGAGGAUGGUCAGCCACACUGGGACUGAAAUAC